rnacentral:rRNA from 1 species
AACGAACGCUGGCGGCAUGCCUAACACAUGCAAGUCGAACGGGAUCCAGGCUUCGGCCUGGUGAGAGUGGCGGACGGGUGAGUAACACGUGGGAACCUGCCUUUUGGUUCGGGAUAACCGCGGGAAACUGCGGCUAAUACCGGAUGCUCCCGAGAGGGGAAAGAUUUAUCGCCAGAAGAGGGGCCCGCGUCCGAUUAGGUAGUUGGUGAGGUAAUGGCUCACCAAGCCGACGAUCGGUAGCUGGUCUGAGAGGAUGAUCAGCCACACUGGGACUGAGAUACGGCCCAGACUCCUACGGGAGGCAGCAGUGGGGAAUAUUGGACAAUGGGGGCAACCCUGAUCCAGCAAUGCCGCGUGAGUGAUGAAGGCCUUAGGGUUGUAAAGCUCUUUUGCCAGGGAAGAUGAUGACUGUACCUGGAGAAUAAGCCCCGGCUAACUUCGUGCCAGCAGCCGCGGUAAU